AAAUUUUUAGUUUAAAAAAAAAUUUUAAAUUGCAAAUUUAAAGAUAUAAAAAAUAUAAAAUUUU
rnacentral:tRNA from 1 species